UUUUUAAUAAUAAAGUAAAAAAAAUUAGAAAAAAAGUUAAACUAGACCCAAUUUCUCAAUAACUUUUCUUCUAUAUUUGCUCCAUCUUCAAUGACUUUCACUUCCGACUGAAUUCUAUCCAAAUGUCUCUAAUUGAAUACUCCUAGGAGGAAACUUUGAAUGCCACAACCAUAAAACCUCCCUCGCCGUACCCAGACUCACCAAAAUCGACCCCCAAUUUUUUGGAAAUCAUAGUUGUCGGUACCCACGGAUCUACAGUCGAAAUCGCAACCAGCGCCGGAAAUCACUACUCAAGCGGGAAAUUAAACACAUCUAGUCACGUUGUAUCAACAACCCAAAUCAAGUGACAACGAUUGACAUCUAAAAGCUUCUCUUUUAGCUCAGCCAUGACGAUCUCGAACAACGUGCGACUCUCUGAGCUCGGUUAGUGUUUUCCUUUUUUGUGAUGGAAGAGUACUUUUAACAUUUGAUUGAUGAGCUAUUAAUCGAAUUUGGGGGUUUGGGUUUUGAUUCGUUGCGAUUUAUGUAAUUAUGUGAAAAUAAGGAAUGAUUUUGAGUGGGUUUGUUAGAGAGAAAAGAAGAUUAAUGUUGUAAAUAAGAUUUUCUAUUUUGAGUGGGUUUAAGUUUUGAUUUGUUGCGAUUCACUGCUCCGUCGUCUCCGACGAUAUCGCCAGCGGGGAGCAUCAUCAAUUCAUCACCCAAGCUUUCGGCUUUUGAUGUUUGGGCUUCGAGAUUGUUAUUGAAUGAAUAAUAUAUUAACUCUUAUAAACAUAUUUAUAAGAUAGAAGUUUAGAGAUUUUUCUCUAUUUUUUAGUGUGUUUUAGAGAAGUUUGCCUUUUAUAGGCAAAGGAAAAGGACACAUAUCUAUCAACAUUAAUUAUAUCAUAGACUAGGUUAUUGGCCUAGUUUUAUAGCAAUUGAUUUGGAAGAAAAUCAUACUAUUAUAACACUCCCCUUUAAUUUUGUUAAGAUAGGAGAUUAUGUCUCGUUAAAAUCUUGUUAAGAAAAUUCAGUGGAAAAAAACUUAGCGAAGGAAAAAAGAGUACAUAUCUUCCCCUCAAAAGUUAUUCUUUGAUGAAAUGUUGUGAUAAGUCUUUUAGUCGAUGCAUUCCAAUCAUAUUUCGAAGUUUUGUAAACGUUACAUUUGGUAGUGAUUUUGUAAAUAAGUCGAUUAGAUUAUCGCAUGAUUGAAUUUAAUGCACAUCUAUAUCACCCUUCUUUUGCAGCUCAUGUGUAGAAAAUUUUUGGUGAAAUGUGUUUUGUUCCAUCUCCCUUGAUGUACCCUCCUCUAAGUUGAGCAAUGCAUGCAGCGUUAUCCUCAUACAUAACUGUAGGAAUAUCUUUGAUUGAUGGUAAUCCGCAUGACUCUUGGAUAUGCUGAAUAAUUGACCUCAACCAAAC
rnacentral:lncRNA from 1 species